UUUUUUAACUUUGUAAUAACGCUGGCGGCAUGCCUAAUUCAUUUUAUUUUUAGCGAUCAGAUGAAGUGCUUGCACUUCUGACGUUAGCGGCGAACGGGUGAGUAACACGUAAGGAAUCUACCUAUAAGCGGGGGAUAACAUUCUGAAACGGGUGCUAAUACCGCAUAAUAUCUUCUUCCGCAUGGAAGAAGAUUGAAAGACGGCUCUGCUGUCACUUAUAGAUGACCUUGCGGUGCAUUAGUUAGUUGGUGGGGUAACGGCCUACCAAGACGAUGAUGCAUAGCCGACCUGAGAGGGUGAUCGGCCACAUUGGGACUGAGACACGGCCCAAACUCCUACGGGAGGCAGUAGUAUGGAAUCUUCCGCAAUGGGCGAAAGCCUGACGGAUUUUGCCGCGUGAGUGAAGAAGGCCUUCGGGUCGUAAAACUCUGUUAUAAGAGAAGAACAAAUUGUAUAGUAACUGCUACAGUCUUGACGGUAUCUUAUCAGAUAGCCACGGCUAACUACGUGCCAGCAGCUGCGGUAUUACUUAUGUGGCAAGCGUUGUCCGGAUUUAUUGGGCGUAAAGGGAGCGCAGGUGGUUUCUUAAGUCUGAUGUGAAAGCCCACGGCUUAACCGUGGAGGGUCAUUGGAAACUGGGAAACUUGAGUACAGAAGAGGAAUGUGGAACUCCAUGUGUAGCGGUGGAAUGCGUAGAUAUAUGGGAAGAACACCAUUGGCGAAAGCGACAUUCUGGGUCUGUUACUGAACACUGAGGCUC
rnacentral:rRNA from 1 species